GUUCAGCAGAUGUUCAUCGAGCCCCAGCUGUGUAUGGGCACCGUGUGAAGUGUGUGGAUGCAGGUGGCGCUCCACUGCAGCUGCCUUUCACUGGAGUAACCGCUGGGCCUCGCCUCAGCACAAUUGCCCUCAUUCUUUUCUCCCGAAUUCUCACCCUCGACUCCAUUUUAAGAUCUUCAGUGGCUUAGCAAGUUCAGUGGGAAAGUUUUUUUUAGAAUUCUAAUUUUUAGUAAUAGAAAAUGUUUUAUGCUUUCCUAUCUUUAGCUCCUAAAAGGAGUAGAGAUUGAAGCUUCAGUAUGAAACCAACAGUGUUUAGGGAUUAAGUUGCUCUUUUUUACAAGGAUGGUGUGACAUUUGACAUGUUGUUAAAGUCAGGGCCCCAGGCUGCGGUAGCCCCAGCCGCCUUCCCUAAGAGCUGGGAGGCAUGUCCAGCCUUCCACACCCCAGCCUUUGUGCAUUCACCUGCCUGCUGCUCUCCACGCUACACCGAUGCAUUGCAUGCCUUGUUUUCAAGCAGAAUUAAAUGCAUAUAUUCAUAUUUACCCUUCUCUGCUGAUAAGGUUUCCUGGAUACAAAGAUUAAAAACUUGGAUUUUUUUUUUUUUUUUUGCCUUCUGGUGUCUCUUUCAGCAAAAGUCAGGCGGUAGUUUUAAAGGUUUUCUGUGCAAUUAGAAAGCACGUUUACCUCAGCAAGGCUGAAUGCAACCACAAUCUGUGGUUUCUACCUUGUUCCUUUGUGUCCUUGAAUGUUUCAUUUUUCGUUCCUGAAAAUUUUCUUCUGACAUUUUGCAAAUAAGAUAGGCAUAUCUAUAUAUUUGCAUAUUUUGAGGGAUGACAUUUUAGCUACUUCACUUUAGGAGAUUUUCACUGGAAAUAGUCUCUUUCCAGUAAUGAAACCCGUGUGUGCAGUAUUUUCUCAAUGGGUCUGAAAAAAUGGACCAACUUUCUUUCACAUUUAACCAAAGCAGAAAGUUCGUGUAUAUUUUAAAUAUGAUGUAGGCUAAGUUCAGACCUUAAAUGCCUAUAAGCCUCUUUUCUAUUUAAUGAAUCAUUUUGUAGUAUUUGCAUAAUUCUAUAAAUUUUUGAAGUGUAGAUAAAGCAAAUGUUCACACAUUAUAUUAUAAUGCUCAGUUUCCCCAUUAGUUCAACAGCAAUUAACUUGUUGAAGCUUAGAGCUUCAAAAAUAAAUGAGAUUAUUUGUUCAAAAUGCCAUCAGGUCUUCCUGGAAUGACAUUUAAAUUAUAUAAUGUAAAUCCAUUUGACCUGUGAGUCCUUGUCAUUAUUUAGUGACAUUUCUUACAGAACAAAUUGUGUGCAGGUUGGGCAGCCUGCUAUGGAGCUUGGCAGAGAGCUAUAAAAACAAAUUAUCCUUUCAUUUUAUACAUCAUUUGUUCAAACAUUUGUAAAAAUUGCUUUGUUUUUCUAUAAUAGAGAAAUGUCAUUCAGUGGUUAAAAGCACAUUAGCUAUUUUAGAUACAGACCACAGACUGUAUCAGGCAAGAGUGUCUGUGAAGGAAGAGCACCCAGCAUUAUGUCCAUCACUGUGCAUGUUUUCAGCUAAGGACAACGGAUCCCUUCUCCCUUUGCCUGCUAAAUUUACCACAAAAUAGAAAGGACAGUGAAUAUAAGUAUCUUUUUAAGUUUAGAAAUGUGUGAUUGUUUGUUUCUCAUUUUGUUCCACUUUGCUUGUAGCUUUUCCUUUGGCAUUUGCCUUACGGGUAGAGUGAAGUAUUGGAAGUAGCAGUGAUAUUUCCCAGGUUUACCACGGAGCUGGCGUAUGAGACAAAGCCACAUGGCAUGGAGGGAAGAAGCAUCAUCCCUACUGUCCUCAGAAGUCAGUCAUUUUCAAAUAAGUGUUAUUUUUGGUUUUAUUUUAUUUAUUUUUUGAGAUGGAAUCUCUGUCGCCCAGGCUGUAGUGCAGUGGCGUGAUCUCGGCUCACUGCAACCUUCACCUCGUGGGUUCAAGCGAUUCUCCUGCCUCAGCCUCCCAGGUAGUGGGACUACAGGCAGGCGCCACCACACCUGGCUAAUUUGUGUAUUUUUGGUAGAGAUGGAGUUUCACCAUGUUGGCCAGGCUGGUCUCGAACUCCUGACCUCAAGCAAUCUACCCACCUCAGCCUCCCAAAGUGUUGAGAUUACAGGCGUGAGCCACUGCACCCAGCCAGAAGUAUUAUUUUUAAUUCAUCUUAUAGGCAUGAGGAUAUAUGUAUUUUACUGCUUUAAAAUAAAGCCAAGUCCUCAGUGAAAGAGUAUGUUAACAAUCCAGAUGAUUGUGGCACUAACACAUUAAAUAGAUUACACUUCUUUUAAACUUUCUGACUUUUUGCUAAUAAGGCCAGACAUUAAGACAGUCACAACUUAAUGAGCUUCAUUCCAUUUUUUCUUUCAUUCCCCUGAGCAGCCAUGUGUCACUCGCUCUGCUGGUGAUGGCCCUGCUGCUGCCUUGGGGCUGCACCUGCUAGGGGCCGGGGAUGGGAGCCACUCAAGAGCUCUUAGAGCCUGCUGAGGAGAGAGCAUCUUCAGUGACUGCUGUUUCAUUUCCAGCUUAGCUGAAGGCUUGCAGUAAGCAUUAGUAAAUACGUGAUACACUAGGCUCACUACAGCACUGGGUUAUUUUGAAGUGUUUGUCUGUAAUGGGAGCUGUUAAGUAAGCUUUUUUCUUUUUUUUUGAGUUGGAGUUUUGCUCUGUUGCCCAGGCUGGAGUGCAGUGGCACGAUCUUGGCUCACUGCAACUUAUGCCUCCCGGGUUCAAGUGAUUCUCCCUCCUCAGCCUCCUGAGUAGCUGGCAUUACAGGCACCCACCACCACGCCUGGCUAAGUUUUGUAUUUUUAGUAGAGACAGGUUUCACCAUAUUGGCCAGGCUGGUCUCAGGCUCCUGACCUCAAGUGAUCUCCCCACCUGGCCGUCCAAAGUGCUGGGAUUACAGACAUGAGCCACCACACCUGGUCUAAGUAAGCUUCUUGAAGACAGGUUGUCAUACCAUGUUUGCCAGCCCAGCACGUAAUAGACCCUCAGCAAUAUUUUUUGAAUAAAGAACGUUAUAACUCCCUAGAGGGCAGUUUAGGACUUUGGGCAUUUAAGCCUUUGUGAACUCUGUAAUUCAUCCAAGGGCUAUGAUUAUAGUCCAGGAGGCAGGCUGAAACCUUAAUCAUUAGCUGUGGCUGGAUAACAAGGCCUGUCAUCUCUGCUGUAAUUAUAAACUGCAUGCUACUAUAGCUUUGUGCAUCUUCUUGGUGCUGAAGCUGCACAGAGAUUCCUAUUAUACAUUCAAAACGGUGAUGGUGAGAUAGUCUUGUGAUUGGAAUGGAUGUUGGAAGCUCAGCUGCCGGGUUCGUCUUUUGUGUAGAAGGCCAGCUUGGCACUGUUCAGGCAGUGAGACUACAAACCAGGAUCAUUCGCCUCUGAUAGCUCUCGCCUCCACCUCCUGCUCUGCCAGGCGUGGAAACCAGACUCAUCAUGUUCUCUCUGCAUCCUAAAUCUGUCUAGUUCAGAGGACCAAAGACAGCCACUUUUUGGCAUGGGUGUGUCAAGUUAUCGUAUCGUUGAUUGCUGUGGAAUGGCUCAUGCCAGUUGAGAGUAUUCAAAGGAAAGAAGCCUGGCUUGGAAAAAUGGUGGCACUUUAAAAAACUAAUAUUUGUUCAUACUUGUUUCCUUUAGCAAUUACACUCUAGGUAAGGGUAGCACAGUACACAAGGCCCAGAGUAAGUGUUUAGUAAGUGUCAGUUGAAUUAAACUGAAUUUCAGUAAAACCUUUCACUAAGGAAUUCUGUGCACCUUCACGUUUUCAUUGAAACCCUCUUAUUCCUCUGACCAUGUGGGACAGAAUGUGAGAGAGUCCCUGUAAAUUGUUGAUACGGGGAACAGAGCUAACAUCUAUUUGUUCUUGUUCCUGGGUCUGUCAGAAUGACAAGCUCUCAAGUGCAGCCAAGCUCAUGUGAAACUUUUUUCCUGCUGGAAUCUGCAUUCUAGACUCUGGCAUGGGAGAGGGGAUGCAUAUUAUGUGUCAUUAUGUAUGCUCAUUGUCAUUCCAGCCACUUUUUUUCCUCACUUAAGAACGCUUAUUGGAAUGCAAGUGAAUGAGAGUGUCAUUGUUAGAAAGAAAAUCUUGAAUUUUUCAAAAGUAAACUAUUUGUAAAUGUCACAACUUGAAUUGUGGGAUGUCUUGCUUGUAGACAUCCAAGGCCUCUGUUGGAUGGCAUUCACGCUGGAGUCUUAGCGCUGAGUUGGAAUAAAUAAAACAUCCUGGUGGGAUGUAUGAAUGUGAUGAGGCUUCUCUUAGAAACCGCAGCACCAGAGCUAGUUGCGUGCCCUGCUCCAAAACCAUGGAGAACAGCCUGCCAUGGCUUUUUCUGCAGAGGAUGUUGAAUUUUAAUGAUUUUAAAUAAACUCCUCAUAACCAUCUUCCUCAUUUUAGUUCAGUCCAGCAGGCACAGACUCCUCUCAAUGCAAGAAGGAUAAACGCAGCCCGCAGUGUCCUCAGUGGGCCUCUGUGGGAAAUUCUGCACUCAGGAGAAUCCCCAGAAGAGAGCUCUUAGGGCCUCCUGAGAAAUUAACUCCUUGACCGCUUACAAGUGACUCUCAGGUUUCC
rnacentral:lncRNA from 10 species